CUGGUCUGUAAUUUUCUUUUAAAAAAAUCGGUAGCACUUUACAUUACAGCUUGGUAAUUGUAUGGUAAUAGUGUGGAAAUAUCAUGGUAAUACACAAGAAAUA